UUUUUUCUUUCUUUUUGGAUUUUUUUUUAUAAGCGAAAAAAAGGGGCACAAAAUUCACAGCAUCGACUCCAGUGAGUUUCACUUCUUUAUUUAUAAAUCCAAGAUCACAUUAUCCAAUGAGCUAGCUCAUUGCAUAAUCUUAUAGUAAUAAUAUCACAUUUGUCUACUUCAUUUGUUGUUUUUUCUUUCUUGGAAAGAAGAAAAAAACGAAAAGAAGUAGAUUACAAAAUUUAAAGUGGACUCAUUCAGAGGCUCACAUGUCUAAAUAGUAUAAGAAGAUUUCCAUGCCGAGAUUUUUGGAAGUUAUGAUUAUUGCUUUGAAACUAAAAAAAGUUUUCGUAGUCUAAUAAUUUUGGAAUCGUUUUUAAAAUUGUGAAUAUUAAAUUUUAAUUAAAAUUAAUUAGGUAUAUUUAUAAAAGUUUUCAUUAGAAAAAAGGAAAUUAGAAUGAGUAAGAAAGCACAACCCUACCAAAUCAGGCUGAGUUGAUACUUCCAGAGAUAAUUUUAGGCAAGGUCAUGAAAUCAAUACUAAUUAAUCAAAAUCUUAUUUCAUUACGUAUGCGUAUUUAACUUAUUUAAAUAAAUAAAAUGAAGUCCAAUUUAAGUAAUUUAAUGUUUGUUUUAUUUAUUUAAUUUUGUAUGCAGGUUGCCAGAAUCAUUGACGGAUGUUGAAAUCGACAUGAGAGUUUGUCGAGCCUCCUAUUUCUUUUUCUUUCUGUUUCUCUCCCACUCCUUCGUUUUUUCUUGAUUGGUAUUGAUGAAGAUGAAGGUUUGGAUUAUUAAUUUGUACAUCAUUUAAUUUUUAUAAAAUUGUUGCGUGCAUCUGUCGUUUGUCUUAGACCAGAAAGCAAUCAAGAGAAUUCUCUCUAUCAUUAUUGGAUUCUCAUUUUCAGAACCCUUUCCUUCUUGUGCAAACUAAAUUUAUUAAUAAAUAUUCCAUGAAAAAUUU
rnacentral:misc_RNA from 1 species